UACGUAGGAGGCGAGCGUUGUCCGGAGUUACUGGGCGUAAAGCGUGCGCAGGCGGCUUCUCAAGUCAGGGGUGAAAGCCCAGAGCUCAACUCUGGAAUUGCCUUUGAGACUGAGUGGCUUGAGUACGAGAGAGGUGAGUGGAAUUCCCAGUGUAGAGGUGAAAUUCGUAGAUAUUGGGAAGAACACCGGUGGCGAAGGCGGCUCACUGGCUCGUAACUGACGCUCAUGCACGACAGCGUGGGGAUCAAACAGG
rnacentral:rRNA from 1 species